rnacentral:rRNA from 2 species
GCAUUAAGCAUUCCGCCUGGGGAGUACGGCCGCAAGGCUGAAACUCAAAGGAAUUGACGGGGGCCCGCACAAGCGGUGGAGCAUGUGGUUUAAUUCGAAGCUACGCGAAGAACCUUACCAGGUCUUGACAUACUAUGCAAAUCUAAGAGAUUAGACGUUCCCUUCGGGGACAUGGAUACAGGUGGUGCAUGGUUGUCGUCAGCUCGUGUCGUGAGAUGUUGGGUUAAGUCCCGCAACGAGCGCAACCCUUAUUAUCAGUUGCCAGCAUUAAGUUGGGCACUCUGGUGAGACUGCCGGUGACAAACCGGAGGAAGGUGGGGAUGACGUCAAAUCAUCAUGCCCCUUAUGACCUGGGCUACACACGUGCUACAAUGGAUGGUACAACGAGUUGCUGAACUCGCAGAGAGUAAGCUAAUCUCUUAAAGCCAUUCUCAGUUCGGAUUGUAGGCUGCAACUCGCCUACAUGAAGUCGGAAUCGUUUGUAAUCGCGGAUCAGCAUGCCGCGGUGAAUACGUUCUUCCCGCGCUUGGAUGGUCCCGCGCCGUAUUAGAUAGAUGGUGGGGUAACGGCUCACCAUGGCAAUGAUACGUAGCCGACCUGAGAGGGUAAUCGGCCACAUUGGGACUGAGACACGGCCCAAACUCCUACGGGAGGCAGCAGUAGGGAAUCUUCCACAAUGGACGAAAGUCUGAUGGAGCAACGCCGCGUGAGUGAAGAAGGGUUUCGGCUCGUAAAACUCUGUUGUUAAAGAAGAACAUAUCUGAGAGUAACUGUUCAGGUAUUGACGGUAUUUAACCAGAAAGCCACGGCUAACUACGUGCCAGCAGCCGCGGUAAUACGUAGGUGGCA